GAUGAAGUCAAUCUUCAAGUGUGCCACUGGUGUUUGAAAUGUAUUCAUUAAACAAAGGAACUGCAGGAACUGAAAACCUGCUGCCCAUGGAGAAUUGCCUCUGGGGAUACCUGACCACUAAAUAUGACAGCUGUGGAAAUAGAAAGGAUGAAAAUUAGCCACAAAGGAAAUAAGCAACUUGCCCAAGAAUGUACAGUAAAUCUAUAGAAGCCCCAAAAACUGAAUCGAAAUCUACGAAGCACUGAAAUCCUACUAACCCUACAACAUACCCUUUCUUUUGGAUUGAAUAUCACAAAUAAAUGUACAAUUUUACAAUCAGUAA